ensembl:lncRNA
GCCCAUUCCUAUCAACUCUAAACAUAAUGAGUGUGAAAAUAUCCUAGAGGGAAUCUGUUAAAUAUUGUUUUUAAAAGCCUAUAGCCCACCCUUCUGGAAAAUGUAAUCAUCUUUUUCUCCCUUUCAAAAUGUACAUCUGACCCGAUAUAAAACCAUGUCUGCAAUAAUAACCCUUAGGCCUAUAGCCUAACUCAAUAUACCUCCCAUAAUAACCCUUAGGCCUGCCUCAAUAUAUAUCCCAUAAUAACCCUAUUGCCUAUAGCCUAACUCAUUAUAUCUUUAAUCACACUAAAGUCCUAAAAUAUCCAUAUUUACUGAAUAUAAUCCAACAUAACCAGCACUGAUAUUACUAAUUGGAUGUAAUAUGUUUAUUUAAUUAAUGGAUGUACUUUUUAAACAGAUCCUUCCUUUUCUCAGAGAGACAGAGAUAGAGAGAGACUUCAUGGUAAGAAAAAUGACAGAAAAUAACCAUGAUGAAUCUCUAAAUGUUAUAUUAUUGUCCACUAGGUGUCGUGCUAGUGAUUGGAGAGCAGUAGGCCUGCACCAAAGAAAAUAUUAAUUUAUAAGCACUCAAUACAUGUAGCCUAUGAAAUACCCAAGGAAAAGGGAGAGUGGAUGGUUAAAGAGUGCAAUUUUAAACGUAAUAUAGUUAUACUAACUUAACUCUACCCACAAACAUUUCUGUUCUCUAAUUUACUAUAUUGCUCUUUAACUUCAAACUAUAAAUCAGUAUAAACUCAGAAAUGGAUUAAUACAUAUUAAACAUUUACUUUGGAACAAUCAUUUGACAAGUGUGAUGUUUCAAUAUUUAUGAUUGACAGCCUACUCUCAAGUAGCCUAGAUCAAGGCCAAAUCAAUACAUCUUGAAAAAUUAUUAAGAACAGUUUUUAAAGGUCAAACAUUAGGCUGAAUUAGGCUGAACAUUAGGAGAAUUGUGUAACAAAAUGUUUAAAAAAAAAAUACAUAAUGGGACAAAUCUCAAACAGUAGUCAAACAAAACAAACAAAGCCAUUACAAAAACAAAACAAACCACUAAACACGUACAUGAUGGAUAUUUAUAAUAUAAAUCUACUUGAAAUCUAAUGUUUGCGAGUGUUGAGCAAGUUUUAAAUGAUGUCCGAGUACCCAAUGGGAAAAUAACCUACGAACCACUGAAGCUCAUAACGCGAUACUCUAUCACACUGCAGUGCACUGCAUAUAGGCGCAGCCUGCUUUUCACUGUCCCCGAACCACUCUUGACUGUAAUGCUACUUACGUGCCAGUUUGGGUGUUGUCCUCAUCUUUGCUUGAUUGGCAGAAAAGAGGAUGGAACAGUAUCUGGCCGAUUCAAGAACCACACUUCAGCCGCCGGAGAUCCCGCUCUCUGCUCGACCGACACAGCGGUAGGCUGUCUCUCUCUCUUUGCUCGCCCGGUAGUCCGCAGAUUUUUCCAAAAGCCAGUGCUCUUACUUCAGCGUACCACCGCUCAAGCUGGUCGCUGAACGCUGGUGUUUUGCUCGCUACCCCUGUAACAAGAAAAGCCGUUUAUGGCUACACACAAUCUGAAAAGGGGCCGAUUUAAAAAGAGAAGAAUGCAUCAAGAACAACAAAAGUCAGUUAUACCAAGUCUGCCUACCCCCCC